AGGGUUCGAUUCUGGCUCAGGAUGAACGCUGGCGGCGUGCCUAACACAUGCAAGUCGAACGGGGUUAAGUGAUGUUUCGGAUGGAUCUUAACUUAGUGGCGGACGGGUGAGUAACGCGUGGGGAACCUGCCCUGUACUGGGGGAUAACAGUGAGAAAUCACUGCUAAUACCGCAUAAGCGCACAGCAUCGCAUGAUGCAGUGUGAAAAACUGAGGUGGUACAGGAUGGCUCCGCGUUGGAUUAGCCAGUUGGCGGGUAACGGCCCACCAAAGCGACGAUCCAUAGCCGGCCUGAGAGGGUGAACGGCCACAUUGGGACUGAGACACGGCCCAGACUCCUACGGGAGGCAGCAGUGGGGAAUAUUGCACAAUGGGGGAAACCCUGAUGCAGCCGACGCCGCGUGAAGGAAGAAGUAUCUCGGUAUGUAAACUUCUAUCAGCAGGGAAGAUGAUGACGGUACCUGACUAAGAAGCCCCGGCUAACUACGUGCCAGCCGCUGC
rnacentral:rRNA from 1 species